UGAAGAGAGGCGUGUUAAAUAGAAAAAAGCUCGGGAAGAUUUCAGGAUAAUGUUAGAAGAUUGCAAGGAGCUGUCACCAUCGUCAAGAUGGAGUAAGGCAAUCUUCAUAUUCGAACAUGAUGAACGUUUUAAAGCUGUUGAGCGAGCUAAAGACCGUGAGGACCUUUUUGAAGAUUAUGUGGAAGAACUUGA